UUGAUUGCACGAUGGAGGAACUCAAGGACUACAUUGCAUUAACUUAGAAGUGGAAUGACUUGAAGAAUAAUUAUGAGCUUUGGGAAGAAUUAAUUGGUUGCUGGAAUUACAAAAGAGAGGGACGCAGGAGACAAAAAUAAAAGAAAAGACGGCUGAAGACGGAGAUUCACGUGCCAAAACUUUAAUCACGUUCCGUCAAUAAAUCGGGUGAUGUCUUCCAUGAAUUUAUCUUGCUUUUCUUUCAUUAAUAUGUUUAGCUAAAUUUAUUUUAGGGCGAAUAAUGUAACUGAUUUGGGACC